rnacentral:lncRNA from 1 species
GACGACAUCAGGAGCUCGGCGAAGCGCCGGGAGUCGAUCCCCCGCGCCCGGUUCUUCUCGAAAUCGAUCCCGUUGGACCUGAGGAGGUCGAUGGACUCGGGGGCGUAGCGGUCGCGGUAGAUGUCGAAAUCGCGAAAGUUGAACUCCCAGACGUAGCGGACGGAGCCGCCGGCGCCGAGGUCGGGGAGGUUGCCGGCGGCGUCGGAGAGGGUGAGGCCCACCUGGAUGAGGUGGAGGGCGUCGACGUUGGCCUUGAGGAGGGCAUACCGUUCGGCGGGGCAGAGGAUGGCGGGGUGCUUCCGGGAGCGGUGGACGACGCCGGGGAACUCCGUGUCCAUGGCGGCGAAGGGGUGACACUCGACGGCCUCGCGGAUGAGGUCGAAUUCCGCCUCCAGGUUAUCGGCCCACACGGAGCGGACCUGGACCUCGAUCGGCUCUUUUGCAUCUUCCAAAGAAGGCAUCUUUUGGCCGCUAAUCUGCUUCGAUCCG